AUUAUACAUAAUAUAUUUACAUAUAUAUACACUCCUUUUCUAAAAGGAUAUGAAAAACCUCUGGUUAACUACAUGUCCACAUUUAGUUUGUAACUUUUUCAGCUGAAGACGGAAGUUGUUUCUAUUACAGUUCUAGACAGAAAAAAAAAUUCAAGUGAAAAUGAAUCUAUCAUUUAUAUUUGGUUCCUAUCAAUUCUCUGCGAUGUCUGACAUUUUUCUUUAACGACCAUGUAGUUAAGCAUACUUCAGGAUGCAGUACGUGGGAACGUAGUAAUUAGACUUCCUCCUCAGUCAGAGCUGCCAAUGUAUGUGGACUGCAUCACUCCUUGAAAACCAGACCUGCGAUGGAAGAACGUGGAGGGAUCAUUGUAAAAGAGGGAACUGGCUCGGAAUUGAUGGAGUUAAAGGCACAUCCAGUCCUUCUGCUUGCCUGCAAUAUUAACUACUUGAAGAAGAUGAAAGGCUGUGUGGAGCCAGGAGUUGGACUCUAUCCUUACCAAGACUAUUUGCAGUAUUUUUGCACCUUAAGAGUGAGUUUUCCCCAUGGGAACUGGGUUCGUGCACCGGCUAAGGAGAGCAGCACAGUAAAGUGUGCAAAUCGUGAGUUAAUUUUUAUCAGGCUUCUGGGCUCUCUCCUCUACUGACAU
rnacentral:lncRNA from 1 species